CCUACGGGGGGCUGCAGUGAGGAAUAUUGGUCAAUGGGCGUAAGCCUGAACCAGCCAAAUCGCGUGAGGGAUGAAGGUUCUAUGGAUCGUAAACCUCUUUUAUAAGGGAAUACAGUGCGGGACGUGUCCCGUUUUGUAUGUACCUUAUGAAUAAGGAUCGGCUAACUCCGUGCCAGCAGCCGCGGUAAUACGGAAGAUCCGAGCGGUAAGCGGAUUUAUUGGGUUGAAAGGGUGCGGAGGCGGCCUUUUAAGUCAGCGGUUAAAGUCUGUGGCGCAAACCUAGAAUUGCCGUGGAAACUGGGAGGCUUGAGUAUGAUUGAGGCAGGCGGAAUGCGUGGUGUAGCGGUGAAAUGCGUAGAUAUAACGCAGAA
rnacentral:rRNA from 1 species